CUUUGUCUACUCCACCAUAAUGGGAAACACCUACCCCUACAGCUUCCAUCCCUUAGUGCUGGCAUCAUUUGCUCUUUUAAGUCUUAUCUGACUUCCUCCAUUCAUUCCCGGGUAGAGUUUUAAGCUCCCUUCUUUAUACUUCAUCUCUAAUUUGCUUCUAUCAUAGUGCUUACAACACUUACACAUUCUAUUUGUUUGUAUAUUUCCUCCUAAGAAAAUCAUUAAUUCUUUAAGGAUGAGGACUAUCUUAGUCAUCACUCUACCCCUAGUAUCUAGCCCAGUGCCUGACACUAAAUUAAAGUAAUUUUUAAAUUAGCAAAUAAAUGGCUGAAUGAGACAUGCUUAUGACUCUAUUUUUUCUUAUAGCACAUGAAGCAUUUCACUGCAGAAAUUAUUGACAGUCUUCUCUGUGCACAUCACCAUCCAUUAACUGGGGUUCUGGGAUAUACAGCAGCUCAACAUACAGGUUAAUACUUGGUAAAUUACAUCCUUUCCAAAAAGCAAGUCAUGCCAGACUGCACAGAGAAAAGGAAAGACACCAUGAAGAGAGGUCAGUAGUGGACGGCUCAUAGCCCUGAAAGUCCCAGUUCAAGCUUCCACAAUCAUCCUACACAAGAGCACUGCUUCUCACAGGACUGCCUCAGCCUGGCAGGAUUCAGUCUCCUGCUCUGAGGGAAAAACAGGAAGUCAAGGAUCAAGACCGAGUGCUCAACUGAGAUCAGAAAGGAGGACACACAGUGACUUGGCCAAAUCACUGGAGAUUCACACAGCAGAGCUCAGACGAGUGCUAUCAGCACAGCUGAGGAAGACAACAGUUAGGGUGCAAGGAUCCUGAAAGAGAAACAUUGGUUGUGUUUUUAUUCCUUGGGUAUAAGAAUCCUGAAAGAGAAAGGCAUCUGAACCUUGGAGGCAUGGGGUUCAUCUCAUCCUCAUCCAGCCUGUGAUGAUGGAGCUGUUUUCACCAGAAACGUGAGGAGACUCAUACCACUUGAGAACUAUUUGUUGGAGUGCCAGAUUAUUUAAGGGCCUUUGCAUGUUUCAAGUCCUCUUCUUAAAGUAAGAAUACUCUCCACAUUUAUAACAGCAACAAAAACACCAAUGUCAGCACAAAAUGCAAAAACGGAGGCACUUCUAUGUCAUAAUGAUACAUCAGAGUUCUGCUCAACUCUUUUUUAGAAAAAGAAGCUCAGACUUACACACAUCCACUUUCUUAAAUAAAUAAUUGUUCAAUGAAAGUUACCCUGGGAGGAUUGCUGUCUCCAGCUCCCAAGCACUGCUCAUCUGCUGACGGGGGGUACUCUGUGACUGUUACAGAAAUUGCUCUUAAAUGCAUAAAACACAGAAGAGAAUUUUUGGAAAAUCCCUUAUUAUUCAUUAAAGCAUUUUAGGGCCUCAUUAAUCCAGAUGGGUUAAUCGGUUGUUGAUUUGCCAGGUUGUUAAGCAUCCAUUGUCAGAUGCUGAUGGGGUGUGAGAAAAUAUAAUUCCGAUCUACCAAAGAGUCACCUGAAUGAGGCUAGCACUUCAUCAGGGAAGGCUGUAUCUUCCUCAGGGAAGGCUGUGUCUUCAUCAGGGAAGGCUGUAUCUUCCUCAGAGAAGGCUGUAGCUUCCUCAGAGAAGGGUGUAUCUUUACCAGGGAAGGCUAUGUCUUCAUCAGGGAAGGCUGUAUCUUCCUCAGAGAAGGCUGUAUCUUCACCAGGGAAGGCUGUAUCUUCAUUACGGAAGGCAGUAUCUUCUGGGGAUAAAUUAAGCUGGGCAUCCAGCUUCUUCUUUAAUUUCCAAAACUUCUCUGUAUCACAAAACAUUCCUCAUUCUUUGGGUGUUUUUUUUUUGUUUUUUUGUUUUUUUUUUUUUUGCCUACCUAAGGUCUGAAAUGAUGUCAGAAGCCAUUUUCAAAAGCUAGUUCGUAACAGGUCAACAGGUCAGUCGCACAUAUGCACUUAGGCACAGAAGCCCAACAUUUAAAGAUGUUUGUGUGUACGUGUCUGUAUACGUGUAUACACAUCUGUGUAUAUGUUUGUGUCUACACAUGUAUACACGUCUAGGCGUAUAUGUUUGUGUCUACACGUCUGUGUAUAUGUUUGUGUCUACAUGUGUCUAUGUGUUUGUCUAUAUGUCCAUAUGCGUAUAUUUGUGUGUGUCUGCGUGUGUGUGCAUGAGUUUGGCUUUGACUUUGUUUCAAAGUUCUUAGCUAGAGCCUGUCCACAUCUUCAGCCCUUCAGACACAAAUGGUAUUCAGGUUAUCAAGGGGAUUCUUUAGCCAGGGCUUAAAAACUCAACUUUCUUUCUUUCCAAACCUUGACUGACUGAGAGUCACAUAACAGCAGUGAGCACAGUGAGAAAAGUCCCUGGAUUAGAAGUUGGAAAAUAUGAUUCAGGGUCCUGGUUCUGUUUUAAGAGAGGAAGUGACCAUCAUUAG
rnacentral:lncRNA from 10 species